ACUCAGAUCCACUUGUCUGUGCUGUUUCAUAUCCAGGAAUCUGAUGCCCUGGAACAUGCACAGCAGCAGCUGAUGGAGGUACCAUGUUUCUUUCUGUCAUUUCAGGGCUCACAGUGGACAGUGGAGUCCGGUCUUUGCUUUCAUCUUCUGCCUGAUUGGAGGAAUGUUCAGACACAUUCUUACCUUUCCCAAAAACAGCAGAUGGCACUACUGAAGAAGCUGUUUUCCUGUUUCUCUUUUCCCUCAUUGACUUUGAUGCCGCCUUCACAGGUGAUCCUUCCCAUGAACUCUCAGAAGAAGUUUUACUUCUCACAGUAGGAAAGGACCUUGAAGCUGCACUUCUGUCAUCAAAGUAAAUUUCAGCGCCCCUAUUUUCUUGAUAUGGUAAAGUAUCAAUAUGAUCUUCCUUCAUUGACCCUCGGGAUUCUUUGGAAAACUUCUGUUGAACUCUCGAAAAGCUAACAGAGCUACUUAACUGGGAUGAAGGAACAAAGUUAUAACUAGCUGAAGUGGACUGCUGCUUAUCAUCUGAUUGAUGGAUAUCAAGACCUCCAUUGUCAAGAUCAAACCCACUGGCAGAGCCCCUUUCUGGCUCACGCCAGAAAUUAUGAUCAUCCUCACUCAGGUUCAUUUCCACAGAACCAAAAUUCUCAUUGCCAGGUUCAAUUGAAUCUUCUGUAUUUGAGGUCAAUCCUAAGCCAGGAAAAUAAUGAUUUAAUGAUGAAGAAACCAAGCCUUGAGGAAAUUGCAUAUUUGUUCCCCAAGGAUUAUCCAUCAUAGGAAUAUUAGCAGGUACCAUUCCACCCAAGUUUCUAGAGGGAUAUCCCAUUGAAGCUAGAACAGAAGGUGAGAUUGAAAGAG
rnacentral:misc_RNA from 1 species